rnacentral:rRNA from 1 species
AGAGUUUGAUUCUGGCUCAGGAUGAACGCUGGCGGCGUGCUUAACACAUGCAAGUCGAACGAAGCAAUUUAGCGGAAGUUUUCGGAUGGAAGCUGGAUUGACUGAGUGGCGGACGGGUGAGUAACGCGUGGGUAACCUGCCUCACACUGGGGGACAACAGUUAGAAAUGACUGCUAAUACCGCAUAAGCGCACAGGACCGCAUGGUCUAGUGUGAAAAACUCCGGUGGUGUGAGAUGGACCCGCGUUUGAUUAGCUAGUUGGUGGGGUAACGGCCUACCAAGGCGACGAUCGAUAGCCGACCUGAGAGGGUGACCGGCCACAUUGGGACUGAGACACGGCCCAA